GACGAACGCUGGCGGCGUGCUUAACACAUGCAAGUCGAACGGAAAGGCCCUGCUUUUUUGUGGUGCUCGAGUGGCGAACGGGUGAGUAACACGUGAGUAACCUGCCCUUGACUUUGGGAUAACUUCAGGAAACUGGGGCUAAUACCGGAUAGGAGCUCCUGCUGCAUGGUGGGGGUUGGAAAGUUUCGGCGGUUGGGGAUGGACUCGCGGCUUAUCAGCUUGUUGGUGGGGUAGUGGCUUACCAAGGCUUUGACGGGUAGCCGGCCUGAGAGGGUGACCGGCCACAUUGGGACUGAGAUACGGCCCAGACUCCUACGGGAGGCAGCAGUGGGGAAUAUUGCACAAUGGGCGGAAGCCUGAUGCAGAAACGCCGCGUGCGGGAUGACGGCCUUCGGGUUGUAAACCGCUUUCGCCUGUGACGAAGCGUGAGUGACGGUAAUGGGUAAAGAAGCACCGGCUAGCUACGUG
rnacentral:rRNA from 1 species